UACGUAGGUGGCAAGCGUUAUCCGGAAUUAUUGGGCGUAAAGCGCGCGUAGGCGGUUUUUUAAGUCUGAUGUGAAAGCCCACGGCUCAACCGUGGAGGGUCAUUGGAAACUGGAAAACUUGAGUGCAGAAGAGGAAAGUGGAAUUCCAUGUGUAGCGGUGAAAUGCGCAGAGAUAUGGAGGAACACCAGUGGCGAAGGCGACUUUCCUGGUCUGUAACUGACGCUGAUGUGCGAAAGCGUGGGGAUCAAACAGGA
rnacentral:rRNA from 1 species